UACGUAGGGUGCAAGCGUUGUCCGGAAUUACUGGGCGUAAAGCGUGCGCAGGCGGCUUUGCAAGACAGAUGUGAAAUCCCCGGGCUCAACCUGGGAACUGCAUUUGUGACUGCAUGGCUGGAGUGCGGCAGAGGGGGAUGGAAUUCCGCGUGUAGCAGUGAAAUGCGUAGAUAUGCGGAGGAACACCGAUGGCGAAGGCAAUCCCCUGGGCCUGCACUGACGCUCAUGCACGAAAGCGUGGGGAGCAAACAGG
rnacentral:rRNA from 1 species